UGGGGAAUAUUGGACAAUGGGGGGAACCCUGAUCCAGCCAUGCCGCGUGUGUGAAGAAGGCCUUAUGGUUGUAAAGCACUUUAAGCGAGGAGGAGGGUACUGGUAUUAAUACUACCAGCUACUGGACGUUACUCGCAGGAUAAGCACCGGCUAACUCUGUGCCAGCAGCCGCGGUAAUACAGAGGGUGCGAGCGUUAAUCGGAUUUACUGGGCGUAAAGCGUGCGUAGGCGGCUAAUUGAGUCGGAUGUGAAAUCCCCGAGCUUAACUUGGGAAUUGCAUUCGAUACUGGUUAGCUAGAGUGUGGGAGAGGAUGGUAGAAUUCCAGGUGUAGCGGUGAAAUGCGUAGAGAUCUGGAGGAAUACCGAUGGCGAAGGCAGCCAUCUGGCCUAACACUGACGCUGAGGUACGAAAGCAUGGGGAGCAAACAGG
rnacentral:rRNA from 1 species